UCUACAGGUCGAGCAAGUCUCGUAAAUUUCACGAUUGCGAGCCACGCUUCACGCAACCGUGUUUGCGUACUUGUGUUUCGAGUUGCGUGGUCGUGCGGAGUUAUAUUUACCAAAUUUAAAUCCGUUCCAACAUGCUGUCAAAAUUAAAUCAAUAUGUCAAUAUGGCUACUGGGUGUAAAAGAUAAAUCUUAUUAUAUCUGUUCUUAAUGAGUUUUAGAUAAUUUUAGUUGUAUUUCUUUGUAAUUUUGUGUUGUACAAAGAUUAAUUUAACAUUUUCUCUGGAAGUAUUAAUUUAGAAAGAUAAUAUGCUUCAUUGGUGUUGUGUUUUGAAGUGUGAAAUGCAAAGUAAUUGUGAUAGAAGUCAAGAUAAAGUUCACUUUUAAACUGAACUAAAUAAGGUAUCUGAGAGACAACAAUGGUUAAAUGCAAUACAAUGUACAGGUUUUACUAGCGAAAUGAAAAUUUUCCUGUCCUGUCUGCUGUAAUCAUUUUAUAUCUGGAAAACCAGCCGACUUAAUCGAUAAUAACAAUCUCCAGAUUGGGUUCCUUCAAUAAAUAUGGGCUAUAAACACAAUGAAAUAAGUUCCCCAAAAUCUAAAAUGGAGUGGUAUCAAAGGAGAAUUAAAGGAAAAAAUAUUCAUUUUUAAAUUAUUUAUAAGGCACUGGACUGUCUUAAAUUCUACAAUAAUACUAGAAUCAGCUGAGAGAAGUGGUCUACAAAAAACCAGGAAGGAAACGGAAUAUGUGGCUACGAAAGGCAAAAGAAAGGUUUACAAAGCAAAUGUGACACAUUUUUUUGAAAUAUUUAGGAAUAUCAGUAAAUUGCAUUAAAAAAAUGUAUGAAAAGAUUUUGUUCAAUAAAAAUGUUUAUAUUUA